UGGUGGGAACUCACGGGGGACCGCCGGGGUCAACUCGGAGGAAGGUGGGGAUGACGUCAGAUCAUCAUGCCCCUUACGUCCAGGGCUUCACGCAUGCUACAAUGGCCGGUACAACGGGAUGCGACACGGCGACGUGGAGCGGAUCCCUGAAAACCGGUCUCAGUUCGGAUUGGAGUCUGCAACCCGACUCCAUGAAGGCGGAGUCGCUAGUAAUCGCGGAUCAGCAACGCCGCGGUGAAUGCGUUCCCGGGCCUUGUACACACCGCCCGUCAAGUCAUGAAAGUGGGUAGCACCCGAAGCCGGUGGCCUAACCCUUUGUGGAUGGAGCCGUCUAAGGUGAGACUCGUGAUUGGGACUAAGUCGUAACAAGGUAGCCGUACCGGAAGGUGCGGCUGGAUCACCUCCUUU
rnacentral:rRNA from 1 species